GCGAAUACCGGAGAAUGUUAUCACGGGAGACACACGGCGGGUGCUAACGUCCGUCGUGAAGAGGGAAACAACCCAGACCGCCAGCUAAGGUCCCAAAGUCAUGGUUAAGUGGGAAACGAUGUGGGAAGGCCCAGACAGCCAGGAUGUUGGCUUAGAAGCAGCCAUCAUUUAAAGAAAGCGUAAUAGCUCACUGGUCGAGUCGGCCUGCGCGGAAGAUGUAACGGGGCUAAACCAUGCACCGAAGCUGCGGCAGCGACACUCAGGUGUUGUUGGGUAGGGGAGCGUUCUGUAAGCCUG
rnacentral:rRNA from 2 species